UUACGGCCAUGUCACGUUGAAUCAUUGGUUCCCGUCCGAUCACGGAAGUUAAGCAACGUCGAGCCUGAUCUGUACAUGAAUGGGCGACCGCUUGACAAUGCCAGGUGCUGUAAG